rnacentral:misc_RNA from 1 species
UUGUUACAGCAUGAAGUUGAAUUAUAAAAACAAUAUUUUAUACAAGAGAAAACUAAUAUUUAGUCUCUCUAUUUUAAAAAAUACACUGUUUAAUCCAUCUAUUUUUAGUUUGUGAAUUAUUUAGUUCCUCCCCUUAUUUUAAAGGAAAUUUUUUUUCCCAACUCAACUAUUCAAUUCUUUAUAAUUUAAAUAAUACAAUUAUUUAGUUUUCAUAAUUUUAAAUUUAUGAACUAUUUAAUCUCUGCCUGCAACUAUUCUCUCUCAUUGGACUACCUUAACUGACAGAAAAGUUAACAAGAAGGACUAAGAGUAUGUUUGGUAUCAUUGUGAGUUUUUUGUUUUUUAUUUUCAAAAAACCAGAAACUAUUUUCUGCUUUUGUUUCUUGUCUUCUUAUAAUUGUUUUCUUUUUUCCUUAAUAAAGCAUCAUUAAUUUUUCUUUUCAGUUGCUAUAGAAAAUGAAAUCCAAAAUGGCUAUCACAAAUCAUUCCCAAACUCUAAAAUAAAAUUCUUUAUAUUA